ACUCCUACGGGAGGCAGCAGUAGGGAAUCUUCCACAAUGGGCGCAAGCCUGAUGGAGCAACACCGCGUGAGUGAAGAAGGGUUUCGGCUCGUAAAGCUCUGUUGUUAAAGAAGAACACGUAUGAGAGUAACUGUUCAUACGUUGACGGUAUUUAACCAGAAAGUCACGGCUAACUACGUGCCAGCAGCCGCGGUAAUACGUAGGUGGCAAGCGUUAUCCGGAUUUAUUGGGCGUAAAGAGAGUGCAGGCGGUUUUCUAAGUCUGAUGUGAAAGCCUUCGGCUUAACCGGAGAAGUGCAUCGGAAACUGGAUAACUUGAGUGCAGAAGAGGGUAGUGGAACCUCCAUGUGUAGCGGUGGAAUGCGUAGAUAUAUGGAAG
rnacentral:rRNA from 1 species